AGAGUUUGAUCCUGGCUCAGAAUCAACGCUGGCGGCGUGCCUAACACAUGCAAGUCGAACGCGAAAGUGGGGCAAUCCAUUAGUAGAGUGGCAAACGGGUGAGUAACACGUGGGCGACCUACCUCAGAGUGGGGGAUAACCUUCCGAAAGGAGGGCUAAUACCGCAUGACAUCCCGUGUUUGGAUACACGGAGAUCAAAGCCGGGGAUCGCAAGACCUGGCGCUUGGAGAGGGGCCCGCGUCCGAUUAGCUAGUUGGUGAGGUAACGGCUCACCAAGGCUCCGAUCGGUAUCCGGCCUGAGAGGGCGGACGGACACACUGGAACUGAGACACGGUCCAGACUCCUACGGGAGGCAGCAGUGGGGAAUUGUUCGCAAUGGGCAAAAGCCUGACGACGCAACGCCGCGUGGAGGAUGAAGAAUUUCGGUUCGUAAACUCCUUUCGACCGAGAUGAACACCCCGCAAUCAAAUACAUUGUGGGACUGACAGUAUCGAGAGAAGAAGCCCCGGCUAACUCUGUGCCAGCAGCCGCGGUAAUACAGGGGGGGCAAGCGUUGUUCGGAAUUACUGGGCGUAAAGGGUUCGUAGGUGGCCAACUAAGUCAGAUGUGAAAUCCCUCAGCUUAACUGGGGAACUGCUUCUGAUACUGGUUGGCUUGAGUGCAGGAGAGGAAUGCGGAAUUCCAGGUGUAGCGGUGAAAUGCGUAGAUAUCUGGAGGAACACCGGUGGCGAAGGCGGCAUUCUGGACUGUAACUGACACUGAGGAACGAAAGCCAGGGGAGCAAACGGGAUUAGAUACCCUGGUAGUCC
rnacentral:rRNA from 1 species